ACACACCCCAUGCACAUGCGCAUACACAUACGUGCGCGCACGCCGUGGACGGAAGCAGGAAGAGGCCCUAGGCCGCAUUACCUCUCGGAUCUGCUGCAGGCGCUCCUCCAGGCUGUGGCGGCUCUCCAACUCCAGCUUCAGCUUCUCCAGCCUCGAGAUCAGCUCAGCUGCAAAGGUGGCCGGUUCCACGGGGGUCAUCUCCUUGGGCAGGCGGACUCAACACGGCAGAAAACAGCUGCCUCCUCACUCCAGACUGUACUCACCGGGAAAUGAGGUAGAGACACUUGGCCAUUGGCCUUCACACUGCGAUGCAUUUCUCUCUGGAGCUGUUUCUUACUGCCCACACGAUAAGGAGGAAUUCCAUCCCUAAGGGAAAGGAAAAGACAGAAUCCACAGGCUUACGAGGAUGUUUUCAGCACGUGGGCUAUUCUCAUAUGCCAUCUUGAGAUCCUGCAGACAGGGCCAUAUGCUUCCAUAGGAGUGUCACAUGUCUCCAGAUACCAUCGGUGCUCCCACAGGGAAGGACCCAUCCAAGAUCAAAUUUAAAUCCUGCCCAUCAAUCAUCUAUGGAAACUUGGCUUCCUCGGAUGCAGAAGCAUCGACUUGGAAAGGGCCUGGAAAGUUCAUCUCUUGGGCUGUUGUCUUAGAACUGGGUUACACUCCAACCAGCCCAGGCAGAGCAAAGGCUCCCCUAUUUUACAGGUGCCCCAAGUAGGAGAUUCUCAGGCCCCAUUGGUCCUCCCACUUGUUCCCACUGCUUCAAACCAGGAACCAGUGCCUUAUGGAUAGGGCCAAGGCAGAAAGUUGUAGGGAUAAGGACCAAACCUACAGAGGGCUAAAUCAGGCAUUAGUGAAGCAUGCAUAACUCUCCAAGUCAACCUCCCAGUCAUUUCCAGAUGUAUUUCUUUUUAUAAACCAGUACAGGGUGAUUAAUAAAAAGAAUAUAUAACAUUUUGGCCCUUUCUCUCAGCUCCAAACCCUACCACCCCCAACCAAUGAAUUUUCAAAGACACAUGACCAAUGUGGGCAUGAAAAGCCCCUACUAUGUGGUGGUCUGUGCAAUCCAUUUAAAGAUUAGCACCUACUAUGUGCCAGAUCUUCUCCUGGGCACUAGGCAAGAGAGCAGUAGACAAAGUGGAUACAUAAUUCAGACAACUGCCCUCUUGAAGUUUAUAUUCUAAUGGGGAGGCACAGGCAAUGAACAAAAUAAAAAAUAGUAUGUUAGUGAUAUGUACUAUGAAUAAAUACACAGCAGGAAAAGGAGAAUCACUGGUGAGUGGGUAAGCUGCAAAUUUAAAUUGGAUAUGGGUGUCAAUUAAGUCCUCAUUGAGAAAGGGACCUUUGGGCAAAGACCUGAAGAAGUAUGGGCCCCUAUCCGUUAUAUUUUUAAAAACAAAACAUUAACAAGUAGAAGAAUUUUUAAAAAGCCUCCACUCCAGCUAGUGUUCACUACAACCAUGACCUGGAGUUGCCAUGAUUUUUUCCAGAAAGAAUUUCCUUCUUAAAAGCAGAAUGGUCAAAGUGUGACUAUUUUCCCAUUGAUGUCCCUUCAGGAGGCCACUUAUUUACAAAAGCCUCAGGGUGCAAACAUUUUCAUAAUGAAUCAUACUUGGAGGCUGUAAAUAUUGAAAUUGGGUGUUUGGCUACUUCCCUUUCCCCCAUGUCUGGUUCAUCAUAGGGUGGAAGAAAAAUAGGAUAAUUAGCAAUGUCUAAAAAUACCCAGGGGGCAGCCAGGAGUAACCGGUCAACCUCUAGCUCCUUAUCUGAAAUGCCCUAGAAUUCUAAAUAGCUGCAUUUUCAGGAAGUCUGCUGACCUAGGUCAGAAAACAGGGCCACACAAGGGACAAUGAAGAUUCCAAUAGAUCAACAAACCAAUGUAUGUUAACCAAACCCUGGCUAAGGAGUGCAUAAAGGAUAAUUGCACUGAGGUGAGUAGGGAAGGGAGGGAAGAGAGAUCAGUAUCCAGAGCAACAACUUACCCCCAAGUGUGAGUACUGCCCCAAAGAAAGGUGAGUAUGGAGCAGAGACAGAGCACUGUGGGAAGGAUUUGCAGCAGCUGGCUGACCAGUGCUGGAGAAACACGUCUCCUACUCAUGACUGAGAACAGUCAGCCUCCUACUCAUGAGGCUCGGCACUUGACCAAGCCCACCUAAAGAUUAUUUAUCAAAACUUUGUGUCUUCACCUUGGGUAGUUGAAAACAGGACUUACAAGCAUGCUUGGCUUGACGAGAAACCAAACGCACCCAAGGCAACUGAUGCCAACCUGAGAAUGCCAGCUCGUACAUACCGAGUCCCUACUGUACGUCAGAUAUUGGACCUAUAAUCAGACUUCAUUCUCAUAAGAACCUUAAUGAGCCACAUUUUACAGAUGACCAGAAAUGCUCAAUAGCUCACCUAGUGUUACAGUCAGUAGCAGAUUGACAACUCAUACCCAAGCCACUGCUGGACUCCAGAACAGGCAUCUGUAACAACCUACACUUGGUCAUUUCAAUAAGAUGCUCUUCCCAGCCCCAAUCAGCAGUCAAGCUUCCUGAUGGUCUGAAUGUGAAGGUGCCACUUCCUAAGCCCCACACAGUCACCUGACAUUCAUAAGGCAUGAGGGGGAAAUUUGUGGAAUUUUCUGGAAAGUCCUCCCCAACCACCUAGUACUCACUAGCUAUGGGGCUUGCCAGGUGGUUCCCAAGCCAUGCUGAAUAUCUCCAUCUCUCACCUAAGAUACAUUGUAUGGUAGGGGUGGCGGUAUCCCACAGAUUGGGCUCAUGCUGGUCUAACCAAAUUCUGCUGCCCUAGGGCUGUAAGACAACAUCUACCCUCCGUCUCUCUUCCAGGGACUUAAGACAGGGGAUGACUCUGCUCCAGCCCUGUUCCUGACAGUCUUGGGGGCAGGAGUCAAGCACUCCAUGGACCCCACCAUGACACAAGUGACAUAAGGCUUCAAGAGUCCUAGAAGAGUCCCCCAUCCAACCCCUCCAAGACUCUGACAUUUCCACUGGUAGCUUUCACUCUUCUUUUCCUUCUCCCAGAUGAAAGUCAAUGGUA